AAUGCCUCCUACUAGAAAUCUGAUUGCCCACAUUAUGUCUAGAGGCCUAAACCAUUUGCAGUGCCACCUCCUGAAAUGGGACAUAGCUAUUUAACUGAAAUGAUCUCGCCUCAAAACCAAGAGACUGCCUAAAGAAGAUAUGGAUGUCCAGCAAGAAUCGUCAUGGGAAACUAUGAGAUGAGGAGACUUGUGACUAAGGGAGAGUAAGACCAGAGUCAAGAAUCCUGGUGUCUAAGGGCAGAAACACCUGAGGCUGGGGGUUUGAGAUGUCUGAGAGCUUGACAAUACCCUACAGCCUCCCACACGGUGCUCAUCAAGACUCAAGCCAAAAUUUUACUUCAUCAAAGUUUUGCAUGUGGAAGAAGAGGAGAAUUGGGGAAUACCUGAGCUGUCACUGAGCACUUCCUCACCAUACAAGAUCCCCACCAAGUUCUCACUGCGAAUGCUGUGAAUAGUCUCUUCAUGCUCCUAGCAGAAGGUGGAGAAAAGUCCAGAACAUUCUGGUCCUCCCUCCCUCAAGGGAAAUUACAAGGGCUUAACUGAAGUGAG